CCACAGUUAAGGUCAACUCCAUCUGAGAAAGGUGCUACUACACAGGCUGCAUCAGCCAGAGUCUGGGCAUCAUGGGAAGCGAACUGCACUAUCAGGGGCCGGUCACCUGAGGAGGAAAGGAUAAAACAAACAAUGAUUGUGAAAAGCAGCUCCAUCGGUGCAAAAGUGCAUGGCUGCAAUACCAAAAGGACAAGCCCAAGCUACGGGUCACAUGAGUUGUGUGGUGAAAAGACAAAAAGUGAAAUACACUGAGGCAGUGGUGCAAGAGGUCCCCCAAUCAAUACCUACUGUUCCUCAGCUUUCAUCAGAUCAGGACUGCCAAUUGUGGAGGCAUCUUCUGAGGAAACCCCCCUGGCACAGAAAUGCUCAAGAAACGUUGAACUAAUGGAAUAAGCACUAAUGCUACAGUAGUUUUUUCCACACCCUGAAGACAAUCAGUAGACCAGAUUAGAGAUUAGAGAGCAAUUAUGAGUUGAAUGUAAUGUUUGUUAUUUGUAGAAUAAGUAAAAAGCCAAACAUUACAAACUCCUGGCUGGUUUUAGAAGGAGGUUUCUGAUAUGUUUUCUCAGUUUGCCAUCACAGUCAUUUACAGUGCCUACUAGUGACAAUUUUCCCAGAUCCCACACUUUUUUUUUCCUAAGGGCUGCAUUUGUAACAUAUGACCUACUCCAAGUGUACUAUGUACUGAUUAUAUAUGGCAUAAUUUUGAUACUAUCUCAGUUGCAUGUUAUCUCAAUCCCCCCCCCUUUUCCAGUGUCUCCAUUUUGUAGCACCAAGUCAACAGGAAAUCUUUGUAAACCAAAAUUUUGAUCUAGAAUGCUGAAAAUGUGAUUUGAAGCACAGAAUCAAGCCUGCUCUAGAAUGAAAGCAAGUUAUCUGUAGUACUUUCUCUCUCUGGCCACAAGAGGGCAUUGAAGCAGCACAAUUCUAAAAAUGUCUCUCCUCGGGAGGAGUCUUUAAAGGAACAAUUCACCCAAAAUCAAAGUAUAUAUUGUUUUCCUACCUCAAGAAACCGAUAGCACAGCAAUCUAUCCAGAUUGUUUUAGUGUGAUUUGAAUAUUAGCUGCUUAAGUGGCAUUUGAUUUGUGGCACUCAAAGCAUCAAAAACCUUCAGUUUAAGUUUCUCUUCUGAAGUGGAACGUAAACAUAACUUGAUCACAAACCACAUGAAGAGCUUCUUUUUGUGCAGAUAUACCUGCCUUUCCCUUGGUGAUGGAGGGUGUGUUUGUUAUUUUGUAGGCCAAAAUAAUGAAUAAUUACCUCUGUCUGCUGUCAUCUUUUAAAAAAAGGACAAGGACUAUUUCCUCAUAAAAUACACAAUUGUUGAACUAAUGGACACUUUAUUUCAAACUGGCACUGAAUAAGUGACUAAUAUCAAAAAGAAGCAUCAAUAGAUACAUCAAUAAGGCACAGAGGGCAUCACAAAAAUAUCCCUUGCCAUGACUGUGGAGAGACCCGUUAAUCAUCUGAUAAAAUCUCAGAAUCUAAAACUUCAACAGAAUAAAUACAAUUUCAGUCCAAGUCAAGCCAAAGAAAGUGAUAGCAGUGGAAUGCAGCUUCUUAUUUUCACUAGUAAGCCAGUGAGUGAUAUCAAAAAUGUAUCUAUCCACUUUUCUCCACACUCAUGAUCCAUCUAUACUACCUACUUAACCAGAUUUUUUAAGCUUACAGAUCACAAUGAAUAGAAAAGGUUCCUUAAUAUA